UUGUACAAAAAUGCAUCCGCAUUCGUCUAGGGUUCAAAGUUUGCGUUCGAUUACAAAAUUGGAGAGCUGGCUGGAAAAAGUGAAAUCAUGAAGGCUCAUCCGUGUUGAUUACUAAGGAUAGAUAGCUCGGGGUUGUCACUUGCAUCUCUUUGGCAGCAAAAGUUGAAGAAACUCAAGUGCCACUUCGCUUAGACCUUCAAGGUUGGUGAGAUACCUUGCCAAGUAUGUGGAUCCAGGGACAGAGGAGAUGUAAUGCUGAUUUAUGGUGAUGAAAGUGUCUCCCUUGGCUGUGGAAUUGCUACUCAUAUCAGUUGCUGCAAACUGUGCUGAAUGAGAAACACUCACUUACGUUGUUUUGUGGCAAUUACAUUGAAAUUCAAGAUAAUGGGAUUCCUUUGCUUUGUGUGCUUAUUAGCAAAUGUACUUUAAUUGAUCUUUUCUUUUUCUUGCAACUGUAGAAUAAGUAGCUGCAUUAAAAUGUUUCUUAGAA